GUCGCACGAGAAAGGGGCUUCGGUCCUGAGUAAAGUGGCGCACGGGUGAGUAACACGUGAAUGACCUACCUUCGAGUGGGGAAUAACUGGGAGAAAUCUCAGCUAAUACCGCAUAAUACCUACGGGUCAAAGCAGCAAUGCGCUUGAAGAGGAGUUCGCGGCAGAUUAGUUAGUUGGCGGGGUAAUGGCCCACCAAGACGAUGAUCUGUAUCCGGCCUGAGAGGGCGCACGGACACACUGGAACUGAAACACGGUCCAGACUCCUACGGGAGGCAGCAGUGGGGAAUUUUGCGCAAUGGGGGAAACCCUGACGCAGCAACGCCGCGUGGAGGAUGAAGUAUCUUGGUACGUAAACUCCUUUCGAUGGGGAAGAUAAUGACGGUACCCAUAGAAGAAGCCCCGGCUAACUUCGUGCCAGCAGCCGCGGUAAUACGAGGGGGGCAAGCGUUGUUCGGAAUUAUUGGGCGUAAAGGGUGCGUAGGCGGUUUGAUAAGUCUGAUGUGAAAUCUCUGGGCUCAACCCAGAGUCUGCAUUAGAAACUGUCGGGCUUGAGUAUGGGAGAGGUGAGUGGAAUUUCCGGUGUAGCGGUGAAAUGCGUAGAUAUCGGAAGGAACACCUGUGGCGAAAGCGGCUCACUGGACCAUAACUGACGCUGAGGCACGAAAGCUAGGGG
rnacentral:rRNA from 1 species